UAGCGGCGGACGGGUUAGUAACGCGUGGGAACGUACCCUUUUCUACGGAAUAGCCUCGGGAAACUGAGAGUAAUACCGUAUACGCCCUUUGGGGGAAAGAUUUAUCGGAGAAGGAUCGGCCCGCGUUAGAUUAGAUAGUUGGUGGGGUAAUGGCCUACCAAGUCUACGAUCUAUAGCUGGUUUGAGAGGAUGAUCAACAACACUGGGACUGAGACACGGCCCAGACUCCUACGGGAGGCAGCAGUGGGGAAUCUUAGACAAUGGGCGCAAGCCUGAUCUAGCCAUGCCGCGUGAGUGAAGAAGGCCUUAGGGUCGUAAAGCUCUUUCGCCUGUGAAGAUAAUGACUGUAGCAGGUAAAGAAACCCCGGCUAACUCCGUGCCAGCAGCCGCGGUAAUACGGAGGGGGUUAGCGUUGUUCGGAAUUACUGGGCGUAAAGCGCGCGUAGGCGGACAUUUAAGUCAGAGGUGAAAUCCCAGGGCUCAACCCUGGAACUGCCUUUGAUACUGGGUGUCUUGAGUUCGAGAGAGGUGAGUGGAAUUCCGAGUGUAGAGGUGAAAUUCGUAGAUAUUCGGAGGAACACCAGUGGCGAAGGCGGCUCACUGGCUCGAUACUGACGCUGAGGUGCGAAAGUGUGGGGAGCAAACAGGAUUAGAUACCCUGGUAGUCCACACCGUAAACGAUGAAUGCCAGUCGUCGGGC
rnacentral:rRNA from 1 species